rnacentral:rRNA from 1 species
GACGAACGCUGGCGGCGUGCUUAACACAUGCAAGUCGAACGGACAGACAGAGAGCUUGCUCUCUUGAAGUUAGUGGCGAACGGGUGAGUAACGCGUAAUCAACCUGCCCUUCAGAGGGGGGUAACAACGGGAAACCGUUGCUAAUACCGCGUACGAUUCAUGAACGGCAUCGUUUAUGAAUGAAAGGUGGCCUCUAUGUAUAAGCUAUCGCUGAAGGAGGGGAUUGCGUCUGAUUAGCUAGUUGGAGAGGUAACGGCCCACCAAGGCAAUGAGCAGUAGCCGGUCUGAGAGGAUGAACUGCCACAAUGGGACUGAGACACGGACCAAAGUCCUACGGGAGGCAGCAGUGGGGAAUCUUCCGCAAUGGACGAAAGUCUGACGGAGCAACGCCGCGUGAGUGAUGAAGGUCUUCGGAUUGUAAAGCUCUGUUAAUCGGGACGAAAGAGUUCUGCGUGAAUAAUGCAGAAAAGUGACGGUACCGGAAUAGAAAGCCACGGCUAACUACGUGCCAGCAGCCGCGGUAA